UACGUAGGGUGCAAGCGUUAAUCGGAAUUACUGGGCGUAAAGCGUGCGCAGGCGGUUUUGUAAGUCUGUUGUGAAAUCCCCGGGCUCAACCUGGGAAUGGCGUUGGUGACUGCAAGGCUAGAGUUUGGCAGAGGGGGGUAGAAUUCCACGUGUAGCAGUGAAAUGCGUAGAUAUGUGGAGGAACACCGAUGGCGAAGGCAGCCCCCUGGGUCAAAACUGACGCUCAUGCACGAAAGCGUGGGGAGCAAACAGG
rnacentral:rRNA from 1 species